UGCAGUCGAGCGAACUGAUUAGAAGCUUGCUUCUAUGACGUUAGCGGCGGACGGGUGAGUAACACGUGGGCAACCUGCCUGUAAGACUGGGAUAACUUCGGGAAACCGAAGCUAAUACCGGAUAGGAUCUUCUCCUUCAUGGGAGAUGAUUGAAAGAUGGUUUCGGCUAUCACUUACAGAUGGGCCCGCGGUGCAUUAGCUAGUUGGUGAGGUAACGGCUCACCAAGGCAACGAUGCAUAGCCGACCUGAGAGGGUGAUCGGCCACACUGGGACUGAGACACGGCCCAGACUCCUACGGGAGGCAGCAGUAGGGAAUCUUCCGCAAUGGACGAAAGUCUGACGGAGCAACGCCGCGUGAGUGAUGAAGGCUUUCGGGUCGUAAAACUCUGUUGUUAGGGAAGAACAAGUACAAGAGUAACUGCUUGUACCUUGACGGUACCUAACCAGAAAGCCACGGCUAACUACGUGCCAGCAGCCGCGGUAAUACGUAGGUGGCAAGCGUUAUCCGGAAUUAUUGGGCGUAAAGCGCGCGCAGGCGGUUUCUUAAGUCUGAUGUGAAAGCCCACGGCUCAACCGUGGAGGGUCAUUGGAAACUGGGGAACUUGAGUGCAGAAGAGAAAAGCGGAAUUCCACGUGUAGCGGUGAAAUGCGUAGAGAUGUGGAGGAACACCAGUGGCGAAGGCGGCUUUUUGGUCUGUAACUGA
rnacentral:rRNA from 2 species